rnacentral:rRNA from 1 species
AUUGAACGCUGGCGGCAGGCCUAACACAUGCAAGUUGAGCGGCGAGGCGGACGGGUGAUUAAUGCCUAGGAAUCUGCAUGGUAGCGGGGGAUGACGUCCGGAAACGGGCGCUAAUACCGCAUAAUAUCAGAUGAGCCUAGGUUGGCUGAGCUAGUUGGUGGGGUAAAGGCCUCCCAAGGCGACGAUCCGUAACUGGUCUGCGAGGAUGAUAAGUCACACUGGAACUGAGACACGGUCCAGACGCCUACGGGAGGCAGCAGUGGGGAAUAUUGGACAAUUGGCGAAAGCCUGAUCCAGCCAUGCCGCGUGUGUGAAGAAGUUCUUCGGAUUGGAAAGCACUUUAAGUUGGGAGGCGUUACCAACAUAAUAAGCACCGGCUAACUUCGUGCCAGCCGCCGCGGUAAUUC